rnacentral:rRNA from 1 species
CUGAUGCAGCCAUGCCGCGUGUGUGAUGAAGGCCUUCGGGUUGUAAAGYACUUUCAGUUGUGAGGAAGGGUGUGUUGUUAAUAGCUGCACAUCUUGACGUUAGCAACACAAGAAGCACCGGCUAACUCCGUGCCAGCAGCCGCGGUAAU